AGACCCGAAACCCGGUGAUCUAGCCAUGGGCAGGUUGAAGGUUGGGUAACACUAACUGGAGGACCGAACCGACUAAUGUUGAAAAAUUAGCGGAUGACCUGUGGCUGGGGGUGAAAGGCCAAUCAAACCGGGAGAUAGCUGGUUCUCCCCGAAAGCUAUUUAGGUAGCGCCUCGUGAAUUCAUCUCCGGGGGUAGAGCACUGUUUCGGCUAGGGGGCCAUCCCGGCUUACCAACCCGAUGCAAACUGCGAAUACCGGAGAAUGUUAUCACGGGAGACACACGGCGGGUGCUAACGUCCGUCGUGAAGAGGGAAACAACCCAGACCGCCAGCUAAGGUCCCAAAGUCAUGGUUAAGUGGGAAACGAUGUGGGAAGGCCCAGACAGCCAGGAUGUUGGCUUAGAAGCAGCCAUCAUUUAAAGAAAGCGUAAUAGCUCACUGGUCGAGUCGGCCUGCGCGGAAGAUGUAACGGGGCUAAACCAUGCACCGAAGCUGCGGCAGCGACACUCAGGUGUUGUUGGGUAGGGGAGCGUUCUGUAAGCCUGCGAAGGUGGCCUGUGAGGGUUGCUGGAGGUAUCAGAAGUGCGAAUGCUGACAUAAGUAACGAUAAAGCGGGUGAAAAGCCCGCUCGCCGGAAGACCAAGGGUUCCUGUCCAACGUUAAUCGGGGCAGGGUGAGUCGACCCCUAAGGCGAGGCCGAAAGGCGUAGUCGAUGGGAAACGGGUUAAUAUUCCCGUACUUGGUGUUACUGCGAAGGGGGGACGGAGAAGGCUAUGUUGGCCGGGCGACGGUUGUCCCGGUUUAAGCGUGUAGGUGUGUGUUCCAGGUAAAUCCGGUUCACUUUAACACUGAGGCGUGACGACGAGGCACUACGGUGCUGAAGCAACAAAUGCCCUGCUUCCAGGAAAAGCCUCUAAGCAUCAGGUAACAUCAAAUCGUACCCCAAACCGACACAGGUGGUCAGGUAGAGAAUACCAAGGCGCUUGAGAGAACUCGGGUGAAGGAACUAGGCAAAAUGGUGCCGUAACUUCGGGAGAAGGCACGCUGACACGUAGGUGAAGUGAUUUACUCAUGGAGCUGAAGUCAGUCGAAGAUACCAGCUGGCUGCAACUGUUUAUUAAAAACACAGCACUGUGCAAACACGAAAGUGGACGUAUACGGUGUGACGCCUGCCCGGUGCCGGAAGGUUAAUUGAUGGGGUCAGCGCAAGCGAAGCUCCUGAUCGAAGCCCCGGUAAACGGCGGCCGUAACUAUAACGGUCCUAAGGUAGCGAAAUUCCUUGUCGGGUAAGUUCCGACCUGCACGAAUGGCGUAAUGAUGGCCAGGCUGUCUCCACCCGAGACUCAGUGAAAUUGAACUCGCUGUGAAGAUGCAGUGUACCCGCGGCAAGACGGAAAGACCCCGUGAACCUUUACUAUAGCUUGACACUGAACAUUGAGCCUUGAUGUGUAGGAUAGGUGGGAGGCUUUGAAGUGUGGACGCCAGUCUGCAUGGAGCCGGCCUUGAAAUACCACCCUUUAAUGUUUGAUGUUCUAACGUGGACCCGUGAUCCGGGUUGCGGACAGUGUCUGGUGGGUAGUUUGACUGGGGCGGUCUCCUCCUAAAGAGUAACGGAGGAGCACGAAGGUUGGCUAAUCCUGGUCGGACAUCAGGAGGUUAGUGCAAUGGCAUAAGCCAGCUUGACUGCGAGCGUGACGGCGCGAGCAGGUGCGAAAGCAGGUCAUAGUGAUCCGGUGGUUCUGAAUGGAAGGGCCAUCGCUCAACGGAUAAAAGGUACUCCGGGGAUAACAGGCUGAUACCGCCCAAGAGUUCAUAUCGACGGCGGUGUUUGGCACCUCGAUGUCGGCUCAUCACAUCCUGGGGCUGAAGUAGGUCCCAAGGGUAUGGCUGUUCGCCAUUUAAAGUGGUACGCGAGCUGGGUUUAGAACGUCGUGAGACAGUUCGGUCCCUAUCUGCCGUGGGCGCUGGAGAACUGAGGGGGGCUGCUCCUAGUACGAGAGGACCGGAGUGGACGCAUCACUGGUGUUCGGGUUGUCAUGCCAAUGGCACUGCCCGGUAGCUAAAUGCGGAAGAGAUAAGUGCUGAAAGCAUCUAAGCACGAAACUUGCCCCGA
rnacentral:rRNA from 1 species